rnacentral:lncRNA from 1 species
GCCAGGCAAAUCAACCCACAAAAACUUCAUUAAUUACCACAAAUCGACCACAAAAACUUUCAAUCGAUUGUGAAACUGCAUUACUCUAGACAACAAAUUAAGGUGAACAACAACUAUAUAUAUGUAAUAUAUAUGUUGACCAGCAAUAGCUAGUGGGGACUAAACUCUUCGUCACAUUCUUCAGCCUCUUCGACAAUGGUUUCUAAUACAGGAGCGUGUGAAACCUUUCUGAGGAGAAUAACUGGAGCGGAUGCAAACUCAAUAUAGAAUGCCAAAAACUUGGUUUCCUUUGCCAUGUUGAGUUCCUAUGUUUUAGAGAUGAACUAAUUAGGAAAAGGCGUUGAAUAUGAUUGGAAUUUAUGUGUGUGGCUGAAACUGGAGUUCUCACUUCUCCUCUCCA